GAUGAACGCUGGCGGCGUGCCUAAUACAUGCAAGUCGAGCGAACAGACGAGGAGCUUGCUCCUCUGACGUUAGCGGCGGACGGGUGAGUAACACGUGGAUAACCUACCUAUAAGACUGUGAUAACUUCGGGAAACCGGAGCUAAUACCGGAUAAUAUAUUGAACCGCAUGGUUCAAUAGUGAAAGACGGUUUUGCUGUCACUUAUAGAUGGAUCCGCGCCGCAUUAGCUAGUUGGUAAGGUAACGGCUUACCAAGGCAACGAUGAGUAGCCGACCUGAGAGGGUGAUCGGCCACACUGGAACUGAGACACGGUCCAGACUCCUACGGGAGGCAGCAGUAGGGAAUCUUCCGCAAUGGGCGAAAGCUUGACGGAGCAACGCCGCGUGAGUGAUGAAGGUCUUCGGAUCGUAAAACUCUGUUAUUAGGGAAGAACAAAUGUGUAAGUAACUAUGCACGUCUUGACGGUACCUAAUCAGAAAGCCACGGCUAACUACGUG
rnacentral:rRNA from 1 species